UUGGAUUUAGUAUCAGAUUUCAUUUAUGUGUUUCAAAGGGUAAUCGAUUUGAUACUUAUAUUUGGGAUCCUACUGCAAAGCAUACUAAUUUGGAAAUAAAAUAUAAAAUGCCGUGAUUAAUCUUGUCCAUAAAAUAUGCAGGGGAAGACUGCAGAGAUUGGAUACAUACUUUCAUUUACAACUUAAUUUUGUUGAUUUUCAGCUUACAUUCCCUCAAUUGAAGGAGUUAAAGCUAUCUAGAUUACACAAAGUGCAGCAUCUCUGGAAGGAAAAUGACGAAUCCAACAAAGCGUUUGCAAACUUGAAAAGUCUAGAAAUAUUUGAAUGUAGUAAGUUACAGAAAUUAGUACCAGCUUCGUGGCAUUUGGAAAAUCUUGAGGCUUUGAAAGUAUCGAAGUGUCACAGGUUGAUAAAUUUGUUGACGCUCUCAACAUCUAGAAGUCUGAUAAUUCUUCAAAGUAUGACGAUAGCUGAUUGCAAAAGGAUAGAAGAAAUCAUACAGUCGCCGGUUGCAGAAGAAGCGAAAGAUUGCAUUGUUUUCAAGGAAUUAAAGUACUUGGGACUUGAUUGUUUGCCAAGCCUAACAAGCUUUUGUUUAGGUAAUUACGCUCUUGAAUUCCCGUCCUUGAAACAAGUAGUUGUGAGAGAGUGUCCAAAAAUGAUGAUCUUCUCUCAAGGAGUCUUAGACACACCAAUGCUAAACAAAGUGAACGUCACCGAAGAAGAAAAAGAUGAUGAUGAUGAAGGAUGUUGGGAAGGCAACCUCAAUGACACCAUAAAAAAAUUGUUCAAUGAAAUGGUGAGUAUCAAUUAAGUUUUGGUGCUAUUUAGAAAAUUAUUUUAUAGAAACUAAUGUAAUAUAAUAUGAUUGGUUGACUGAAAAUAUAUAAUAAUAAAUAAAUAAAUAAAUUAUGAGGGCUAUGUAAUGUUUUUGUUUAACCAAUCAUAUUAUGUCGCAUUAGUUUAUACAAUAUUGUUUGUGUACAAGAGUUGUAAUGUAUGCUUGCUUACACGAGUAAUUACAAAAUGUGCAUAAUUCUAAAGAAAAGAUUGAGCCAACCCUUCAGGUACAGUGAAGAAGCUAUCUCGAACCAGGCCAAUCUCGUGUACAUGAUUCAACUUGCUCGUUCUCCUGUACUUGAAUAAUUUGGUUCUAAACGCAUUUACAACUUUUUUGUCAUGCUAUAGACAUGCAAGACACUUUGGAUUUGUUUGAUGCAUUCUUUGUUUAAGGAAGGACUUGAAUUGAUGUUUCAUGUUUCAUGCAAUUUUCAAUUAGAUACUGUUUAAACUUCUGCAUUAUUCAUUCAAUCGGUGUUUUAAGCAUUUGAUUUCUAACUAGUCCUGAUAGAAGAUCAUUAGCUGAAGAAAACAUCAUAACAUUUGUGGCAUUAUCAGAAUAAGAAUAGUUUUAUGAGUAUAGUAAAAUUAACUAGACCAUUAUUAAAAGGAAUUAAUCCGUCAACUUUAAGUAAACUUUAGAUGAUGGUUCUGACCUAAACCAUUUUAAUGCUUGGCAAAAUCACAUCCUGAGCAUAGAGUAAAGAAAGUGGCAUACAUGGUAAUCAACUUCAAGAAGCUCUUCGAAAUGCAUAAUACUGUUGGGGAGAAAAGAAAAAGAAAGAAUACAAAUAAAAAGAAGUCACACAUCAUCAGCAGUUUUUCGGGAACACAAAAAUGUUAUAAUAACUUUUCUUGAUUGCCACCCACAUGCUAAACUGAUCAAAUACAAAACAGGAUACAGAAAAUCUCUAACCUUUUUGGCACUGAAGAAGACGCCAGUGCUUUCAAAAGAAAAUGCUUGAUUGUUGGCAUUCUGGUUUGAAAAAUAUGAGUCCAAUUCCUGUGUCCAGUCAUGUACCAAAUCAGGACGACGUGCAAGUCAUACAAAGAUGACAAAAAUACAGUAUAAAUUGCGUCAAACCAAUUCAAGUCAAUUGGAGAAGUAAAUCAAGGACCAUUUGCAAUAGUUGUUCUCCACAUCAAAUUUGGGUGUCCAUCGUCUUCAUCCUCUUGUGCACUGAACCUGAGAGUCCACGAGAAAUACAUAUAAAAAUUAGGCAUGAUUGAAAUUGAUAGUAGUACAAAAUGGAUAUAAACAUCACGAUGAACAAAUUAAAUUGUUCCCUGUCAGACAAAUCCAACCUGCAAGCUUAAGCUCUUAAGCUAGACCAAAUCACACUGCAAAUAACAAGACAUAAGGCCAAAAAAAGAUAAUAUGUAUCAUUCAUAUGCUUCGCCCUAUAGAAAUGAUUUGGGCCAUAGGUCAAUUAUGUUAAAAGCAGCGAUACUAAACCCAAAAGAAGAGAGGUGAGGCGAGGGAGUGGUGGGUUUUUUUUUUUUUUUUUUCAUUUAUAUAUUUUUACCUUAAACCAAAUGACCGGUUUUACAGGUUUCUGGUUGUUUCAAAUUUUUUUAUUGCUUAAUAAUGAAACAAAUCUCAGCCAUUAGAUCACUCCAUUUAAUCCAAUGGUCAGUUUUUGUGCAUGUAUCAGAUGCACGCAUGUAUUGUAGCCGCCCCAUUUUCCUUUUUAGUUGCAAAACCUCGUUCGAAAGCAACAAUGACUUUCACUCAAAGUAAAUGAGAAAUUACAAUGAAAAUGGGAUCAGAAAAAGGUUGAGGUGAAAUAAAACCAAAGGGAUGAUGUUUCUGCUUUCCAGCUUUGGGAAACGGCGUGGAUGGAGCACGUUCAAUACGAAAAACUUCAUUAGCUCACGCGCUGCUCAGCUGAUUCUUAACAGAAAAUGAUUUAGUGGAAACGGCGUGGAUGGAGCACGUUUAACAUAUCAGUUUAAGUAACCACGUGAGAAAGCAUGUGAUGAAGGUUGUUCCGAGUUCGUUGAAGGUUGUUAACCACGUGUCAAAACAAAGUGUUCAUACUGGAAAGAAACAAAAUAUUAAUAAAUAAACCAUUAAAAAGAUUAUCUGAAAAUUAUGUUUAACUAGGCCAAUUCAAUUAUCGAGCAGUUUGAUAUAUUAAAUGAGCUAGAACAGUAGCCUUUUAAUUAUUUCACUUACUAUUAUCGAACAGUUUUAUAUCAUUCCCUAUCUUAUAGUAAAGGUAAAAGAACAGAAAAGGUAUAUUGCAUUAGAGUUCGUGUACUUCUACCUUUUAGUUUAUUCUUCAUUUUAUUAAAAUGACAGAUUCCUCAUUAAAAAAGGUCACUCUACAUAGUAUGUGGGUGUAUGUUCUUUUAAAAAGGACUGAGAGAAAAAUAAAUGUGAAAAACAAGUAACAUCUGAAGAAGAAAGUGAUGCUGACACAUUAACGACCACUUGAUUUUGUAGGGACUGCACAUAAUUGAUAAUUUCAUCCAACAUGAGACCUUUCCAAUUACCUAAUUUUAUACCAAACAACAUGAAGUUUAUAAGAAAUAUUAAAAACACAAAAACUCGUUAUUUGUUUUAAGACAGGAAAAAGUGAAUAAAAAACAAUAACAAAAAAAAGAACUCAAAUUACUUAAUUACCAUAGCUAUGAACAAGUUUUUGCAAAAUUUUCAUCCUCUCACUAACUUUCUCUCUUCUUACCUAAAACCAAAUAAUGACAAGACAACUGCCCAUUAGACUAUGACAAAAGUUGGAAAUUAAAAUAAUAUAGUAGGUUAUUUUGGAUAAAAUUAGAAAAAGAAAGUUUGAAUUUGUAUUAAUAUACUCACCCUUUCUGUUAACCCCUAUUUGAAGGGCCGAAAGAGUAGUAACAGUAGCAAAAAAUUCAAAUAAUAGAAAUCAGAGUGCCCACUACAUAUAAAUGGAUCUAAAGAAUAGAUUAUAUAAUAGCUUGUUUCUUAUGAAUGAUACAUGUGAUUCCACAGAUAAAAAGAAAAUAAAAAUCAAGUAUGUGAAUUAAAAAAAACACCUAACCAAUAGGGGUUAGUGAGAUAUUUUAGCUAAAUAUCAGUUGACAGAAUCUGACCCACAAUAAAAAUUGCUAUCUUUUCACAAUGGGAAUCUGAAUUAUAAAAUUACUGAACAAAACUUUUAACACCUACAAGUCCAAAUAACAUCAAAUAAAAUGCCUAACCAGCUGUUAAAUAUAAAAUGUCCAUGUAGGACUAAAGCCCUGUGGCUAAUCCUUCAAAGUUCCAAGCAACAAUAUGAUAAAAACAUAAUGCAUAAUAUAUAAGGAGCUUAUCUGUAAAACUUCCAUACAAUACUUAUCAUAUUAAACAAUGUACAUAAUGAAAUAUUGGCUUAUUUCUACAGAAUAUUACGAUCUAAGUACACCAAUUUCUCAAGCAAUGCCAUAUAGAAAGAUACCGAAGAAAAAAGGAAAAUAAAAAAUCGAAGUAUGUUAGUUAUGAUUUCAACUUUUGAACUAAAAGUCUGUGACAAAUUUUGCUUCGGGAAAUACUAACAAACACUUGAGAAAAACUAAAGUGUAUCACACUUGAACCGUAUAUAAAGCACAAGAAUAAAAACAACAAGGGGCAAAAAGAGGCUAGAUGUAUCAUCUUCAUUAGUUAAACAACAUAAAUAGAAUCAAAAUAUUAAUGCAUACACCAAAACCUUCAAAAUUCUCUAAACAUUCAAUUUUUUUCAGAGUAAGAAAAUAAAUUUAUAAGAAAUCGAGAAUGCGUAUUUGUUGCGGUAUUUUAUCAAGCAAUUAGCAUGCAGCAAUGUAAAUGACAAUUAAAACAUGUAAAUCUCUGUACUUUGAAAGCUCACCUUCGUUAUUCAUCCAAAGAGAAUAUAUAGGGCAUGUAAGCUCCUUCUUUGAUAUUUAUCCCUAUCGUUCAAUUAUUUUGUUUUCAUCAAAUUCCGUUAGCUCAAGUGGAGACAAAGCAAUACAAAUGGUGCAUUUAGAAGGUACAACUUUAGAAACCGAAUUUGUGCUUGCAACAUAGGAGAAACAGGGGCUCUCCUUCCAUUUUCCUGGUUUUGUGUUUGGUGAUUUUAAAAUUUUAUAUCUAUAUUUACGAAAAAAGAAAAGAAGUUUUCAAAACUAUUUUUUUUAUACAAGUUCUGUGUCAACUCAAAAAUUGCUCAUGACCAAAAAACAUCUAUGGUUCUUCAGUUACUCAAAAAUUCCUCGUUUUUGAGUUACUUUUUUUUUUUUUUUUAAUUUUUAUUCUCAAGUAAUUUUAUCAUGGAAUUGUUAAUUUUUAUUGAAUGUUGAACAAGCCUUUAUUUCUUUUCUUUCCCUUUUAAUGAAAUUAAAUAAAUGGUGGGGAUAUACCCUACAAAUUAUUGUCUCCACCCCAUAUUUAGUAUUGCUUUUACCACAUGAAAAAUUAAUUUUAUACGAUAAAUUUAUUUACUUGAAUAUUAAACCAUAUCAUGAACCAAUUGACAGGUUGAAGAAUUAACUUUCAAGUUUCAACAUUAUAAGAUUAAUAAAUAGCAUAAACAAAUUUUUAUUUUCAUUUAAAUUAAUCUAAUCCUACCAACUUCAUUUGGAUUUCAUAGUUGUUGGUUUCAUGUAUCACACGAAUUGUUAGGCACCAACUAACACAAGUAUAUGUUACUCAAGCAUCUCACUUGAAUAAUAGUCUAAGGAACUUUGAUUCGGAUGGUAGAUAUUUAACUAACUAAAACUAACAUUCUUAACUCAAAGCUCAUUUACUAGUAAAAGUAGAACCUUCUCCGUCAGCUUAUCUUGUUCAUUAUAUAACAAAAGAUAUUUAGUGAAAAAAAAAAAUUGGAGGGGGGGGGGGGAGGGGGAGACUAUGAUAAUAAUUAUGUUCAAGAUCUAGCCGCUAGGGAUAGAUUUGGCUAUGACUAUUUGUUGAUCCAGUAAUUAAUUUGAACAAUAUUGUUAAUUUUAGUUGAAACUGGAAUGAAUUUUGUGAAAGAUGCUUUCUCAUAACUAACCAACUAAAACUAACAAUCAAAUUAUCAAAAUCAGAGCUCAACUACUAGUAAAACUAUAAAAGUAAAACACUUGCUUCUCCAUCAAGUCAUCUCUUUAUAUAUAACAAAGAAUGUUUUAUGAAAGAUGGCAAAAGCAGUCAAUAACAAUUAAGUCUCAAAUAAUUCAUAAAAGAUGUCAAGCUCUGUUGCGAAUGCUGCUGAGGCUGAGAUUUGGAUUGUCCCAUUCUUCGGUAAGGGACAUAUGUUUCCAUGCAUUGAAUUAUGCAAGCAAAUCACUUCUCGUAAUUACAAAUCUACCCUCAUUAUUCCCUCUCACGUUUCCGCCACCAGCAUCACCCCUUCUUUUGUUCACCAAUACCCUCUAUUUGAAAUUACUGAAAUACCCUCCUCAUCUCCACUACUACCAUCGCCUCCUUCUUACCUCCAUGUUGUCAUGCACAACCAAAUGCUUCAGGGUCUUCGAAACCUCCUUUCAACCCGGAACCCGAAAGCCGACCUGUUUGCGUAGUCAUCGGCGUUAUGAUGGGCUGGACGGCUGAUGUUUUCAAGAAUUUUGAAGUUCCCAUUGUUGGGUUCUUCACUUCUGAUGCUUGCUCAGCAGCUGUGGAGUGUGCCAUGUGGCAGGCUCGCAUCCAGGAUGUCAAACCGGGAGAGGCCCAUUUACUUCUUGGGUUACCCAAGGAUGUUGCUUUAUUCCAAUCAGAUCUUAAACGCAGGCCUCACGGGUCCCUUCCUGGUGGCCCACAACCUUUGUGAGGUGCACCCGGUUCAGAGAAAAUAGGUCCAUCAGAACCGAGUGAUCAACCACACUGGAUGAAGCAAGUGGAGGGAUCGAUGGUGUUGAUGCUAGUGUGGGGAGUGGGCCCAUUGUUACCUGAACAAUUUUACAAAUCGACCGGUUCAGUGCUUCGUGAUUGUGAGAUGAGAACCAACCGGCGGAGUUCUAACAUGACCAAAGAUGAGAUCAUUCAAUGGUUAGAUUUGAAAUCAUGUGGAUCAGUGUUAUACAUGUCAUUUGGUACCGAAAUGGGUCCCACCUUAAAUGAUUAUUCAACAUUAGCCAAUGAUUUAGAAGCAUCAAAUCCACCGAUUAUUUAGGUAAUUCAAACUGAUGUAAAUAGAUUGGAUCCUCCACGUCAUUUAACCAGCUUAUUUUCAUAGUGGUUUAGAUAGUAAAGCCGGUAAAAAGGGUUUGAUAAUAGAUGGAAUGGCACCACAAUUAUUGAUGCCGAGUUAUCAAUUAAUAGGUGGAUUUUUAUCUCACUGUGGAUAAAAUUCAACUGUAGAAGCAAUUGGCUGUGGGGUCUCAAUUUUAGCAUGGGCAAUUAGAGGUGAUCAACGUUACAAUGCCAAAUUGGUGAUCAAUCAUCUCAAGGUGGGGUGCAUGAUCUCUGAUGAUCAGUCGAAAUUGACUUAAAAGGAUGAUAUAGUGAGUGGUAUAGAAAAGCUUAUGAGUAGGGUUGGGCAAAAUAUCCGACCCGAUCCGAUCCGAUCUGACCCAAAAAAUAUCGGGUUCAGAUCGGAUCGGAUUGUUAACAAAAUCCAAUCGGAUGUAACUUUGCCAACCCGAUCGGAUCAUGAUCGGAUCGGAUGAAACCCGAUCCGAUCCGAAAACCCGAUCGGGUUGGCUUAAAAAAAAAACUGUGUAACAAACUAACAAAGUGGCAAACACAACAAAAUCGGAUUCACACCACACAAAAAGCAAAUCUUAGAUCUAAAUUAAAAUAAUCUGUAAGUGCACACACACACACUCACAUCACACACGGUCACACACAAAUAGAGGUUUGGCCUCGGAGAUCGGAAAUGUUGAGAUGCCAAACAACGAAGCAGCAGCCAACAGAUUGGAGAUACAACCGCAAGAAGCAGCAACCAGCAGACCGGAGAUGCGGCCGCGCGAAGCCGCGAACCAGCAGCCAGCAAUCACCGACGUGAUCGUGCGAAGCCAAACCAUCGGAGAUCGGAGAUGUCAGCGAAGCAGCGGUGAGCAGAUCGGAGAUGCAACCGCAAGAAGCAGCAGCCAGCAAAUCGGAGAUGCAACUGCGUGAACCAGCAGCCAUCAGUCACCGACGCGAUCGUUCAAAGCUAAGCCAUCGCUGCAACCGCAACGUGCCGAUGGAAUCUACUACACCUCGACUGCUACCGCUUGCUGCCACUAGCUUCACCGGUUACCACAACUGCUACAACUAAAUUCACCUCCACAUUCACUGUCACCAAGUUUUUGGUGGUAUUGACUAUAUUGUUUUAAAUAAUUUAAUUUAAAAAGCUUAAAACAAAACUAUAUCUUGAGAAAAGGUUGAUUGUUUUACUUGAUUGCUUCUGAAAUUAACCCAGAAAUAUAGAAUGGAUAUAUAACCCGAAUGCUUUUAAAUCUGAAUCUAAUCCGAAUUAAUCCGAAUUUUCGAUCCAAUCCGAUCCGAAUUAUAUUCGGAUCGGAUUGGAUCGGGUUAAUAAUUCGGAUUGAGUUCGGAUGAUUUUUUCCCCAACCCGAUUGAUCCGAAAUUGAUCAAAUCAACCCGAACCCAAUCCGAAUCCGAUUUUGCCCACCCCUACUUAUGAGUGAUCAAAGAAAUUGAAAAACGAGCUCACAUGCUUCGCCGUGUAUUUAAUCAUGGCUUUCUUAUAAGUCAAUGACUUCUUUAAUAUAGUGUUUACUUUUUGGAGUGAGAGUGAGGAGUGUGGAUUCCUCUUACUCCAGUGUUUACUUACAAUUUUCAAAGGGGAAGUGAGAAUUCCACUCCGUGGAUCCCACCUAAUUUUGGAGUGGGGGAGUGAGAUUCCCACUCCCAUGGAGGAAGGUGGGAGUGGAAAUUCACUCGCCUCUCUUCCUUUUUCACCCUUAUAUUUAAUAAAAUAAAAUAAAUAAUAUCAUAUUUAUUUAACUUAUAUUAUUAUUUUAUUUUAUAAAUUACAUUUAUUAAAAAUAAUAAUAUUAAACAUAUUUAUUUUAUUAAAUUUAAUAAAAUAAGUAAAAUCAUAUUUAUUUAAAUAAUAAUAUUUUAUUAUUUUAUAAAUUAAAUUUAUUAAAAAUAAUAAUAUUAAACAUAUUUAAAAUAAUAUUAAUUUUUUGGUUAAAAAUAAUAAUUUACAUUGAUUCUAAGUUAAAAUUACUUAAAAAUAAUAUCAUUAUAUUCAUAAAGAAUUAAUAAUAUUACUAUAUUCUAUUUUUAUUUGAAAAUAUAAUAUUAUUAUACUUAUUUAAAAAUAAUACUAUUAUAUUUAUUUAAUAUUAGUAAUUAAUAAUAAUAAAUAUUUUAUUCUAAAAAAAUUAAUUUUGUACUAUAUUAUCAAUAAUAAUGUUUCAUUUGUAUUGUUGUUAUUAAUAAUUUUUUAUUUAUAUAAUUAAAAUUAAAAUUAAUAAAAUAAUUGUGAUUUACAUAGUUAAGAAUAUUAAUAAUUAUUAUUAAUUUAAAAAUAUAAUUUUUAUUAAUUUUGUAAUUAAUAACUAUAAUUCUUUAAGAGUAAAGCUGUAAUUUAAAAUCAUUACUCACAAUCUAAGACAAUGUAAACAAAUAAAUUGGAUUCUGAUUUCAAUUCCAUACUUCCAUUUCAGUGUAAGUAAACAACAUACUUCGACUCCCACUCCACACUCCUAAUCCCAGGAUUCUCACUUCUCACGAUUCUCACUCCAACGCAAAAUGUAAACGCUACCUAAAUGCUUUCAAAUAUCUUGUUAACCAGAAAUCAAUUUAACAAAAACAAUUACCGUGUAUAUUAUUAACGAAAAGGCUUUGAUUCCGUUGGCUUGGGUGUAAAUAAAUCGACUUUAUCAAGAACAGACAUCUCAGCAACUACAUAAUAAUAUAUGUAAGCUUUUGUUAAUUGACUGCAUUAAAUCAUUAAAUCAAAAGCCUUACAAAGCAUCUACAAUAAAAAGAUGGCACAUCCUCCAUCCAAACGACAAAAACAUGGACUCGCAACGCAAUUCUUGCUAAUUAAUUAAUAGGUAGUCAUAUUCCUCCGAGCAACAAAAUGAACAUCAAAUUGUUGAUGAGGCACCAUAUGCACAAAAUGUUGAUAUUGUUUAAUGUUUAAUAUUAUGGGAAAGUUUUAAUAGAUCUUCAUUUCCCUUACAUAUUGUGAGCUUAUAACCAAAAAUGGGACUAUAUGGUUGUGUGACAAACAAAAAGGGAAAUUUUUUACUAUUCGGCUAAAUUUUAAUGUCAAUAAUAUAGGAUCUGAAUUCACUUUAAUAUGAUAUCGACAUGUGUAGAAAAUUCCUUAAGUAAAUAGAUUUUGCAUAAAAGGUAUCGACCCAGAGUCAGAGGAAAAUUAAAUAGAAUGUCUUUUAAUACAACAAUCACUGGUGACCCUGUUUGGGCAUAGUUUGAGAGUACUAAAAUAUCUACUGCCAACUCUAUUCUAGUUGAAAGGCUAUCAAGGCAAAUUGGUCGCAUUGUUGAUGAUGAGGAAAUAGAGGUUGGAUUCAAGAAGAAGAAGAUUAUGGUAGUAAUGUUCUUGAAGGUCGAGAGAUGGAGAGAUUGAGAAAUAAUAGUGCAGCAAGUUUAAUGAGUGGAUAAUAUUAUGGUCAUAUGUUUUUUUUUUUUACACACAUGUAUAUAAUAUUAUAUUUCUAUGAACUAGUUUGAUUACAAUGAUUUUAUGUACAUAAAAGUUUAUAUAAAGAUUAAAUUUUUGCAUUUUCUUUUUUGCACUUAAUUUAUUAAUCAAACUAAUGAUAUGUUAGUAUUUGUUAUAUCACGAACUACAUAACAAAUUUUUUAGUUAAAAAGAUAUUGAAGUUAAUUUUAUUGCAAAUUAAAAUAGUUAAUAAAAAAUUAUUUAAAUAUGUAAUAAAGAAAAUAGAAUAUGCUCUUAAAAAAUCUUGUAAAUAAAAAAAGAUUUAAAUAAUAAUAUUCUAAAUAAAUUACAAACAAGUAAACAAGUACAUUUUUGUCAUUGUACAUGAACAUUUUACACUUUUAAUUUUCAUUUACCAGAUUUGUAUAGUAAACCGUUUAAAAAUUGAUUGUCAAAUAAUCAUCAUUUACCAAACACCCUAAUAGAUUAUUUGUAAAAUUAUUUUUUUGUUCAGAAUCAAGGUAGAAAUUAAUUCUUGGAAAGUAAAGGAAAUCUCAAACAUACCCUCAAUCAACCAUGGGAAGUUAUUUAAGUUGUAGUAUCUAAUAAGUUCUAUUAAUAGUGAGCGCACAUAUCAAAUAUAUAAAAAUAAGUAUUUUAGUUAUUAUCCACCUGUUCCCUUGAAAUCAAUCUCAGUUUUUUUUUUCUUUUACCUAAAAUUCCAAGAAAAAUAUAUAAAAGAAGAAGAACUUUUUUUUGGGGGGGGGGGGGGGGGGGGGGGGGCGGGGAUUGGGGUGGGGGAGGGGGGAGCUCCUCUGUUUUCAUUCCAUUGUUUUGAAAUUAUCUAUCAUCAGUAUAAAGUUAUACUUUUGAAUCAAUAUGCUUUGUGACUCGAUAAUUUAGCAUAAUAAAAAAAGAAAAACACACUUACUCACAUCCCGAUUGAAUCUUAUCUCUAAGGAUAAGUAAAAAAUUAUUGUUCCUCUUUUUCUUUUACGGUUUGUUUACGAAAAGAAAACACUCACACCUUCAAGAUAUUUAUAAGUAGAACACUUAAGUUUUAAGAAUAAUACACCCUAAUUUGAAAAAAAAUGAAUACAUGUAUCAUAUUUUAUGUUUUUUUUUUAAAAAAAUUAUUUGAUGACAUUAUGAGACUCUAUAUGCCAAGAUCUAUGUGAUGGUGAGAAUGGUUUCAUAAAAGAAGCAAUAGUAUAACCGCACACAUGGCAUUGUUUGUAAUGACUAAAAUUAGAAGAGAGUCUAUGUAUCUACUCCUGAAACAUUAAGAAUUUAACUAUUUAUUAAUUAAAUCAAAAUUUCAAGAUCAUAGUGUCGUUUUACAUAAAGAACCCAAAUACUAAAUCUAGCUAAUAAAGGAGAACGGUUUAGAUUAGUUGCUUGGACUUCCUUGUCUCGGGGCUGUGUGGUCAAGCCUGUCCAUCAGGCGGAUUCAGAUUUUGAAAGUUAUCUGAAUCUUCUUCUCUAUGUAAGCCUAUACAAUGAUUUUGUGAAAGACAUAUGCAAAAACAGUACCAGUAAGCAUAUUUAUUUAUCAAAGAUGUCAAGCUCUGAUGCUCAGAUAUGGAUAUCAAAGAGAGAGAUUGAAAAAGAGAGAGAGAGAGAGAGGAUAAUCAGGGACUCGUCUGUUAUCAUUCCCCUGUUUUUCAGUUUGGUGAUUGGAAGUAACAUUAUUUGCGUGUACUCUUUAUUUAAUUUAUUUUUCAAUUUUUUAAAAAUUAAUUAUUGUUCUUCUCAAAGCGUUUAGUAAAUUAUAUGAUAAUCUGAUCAAAUCUCUAACAUUAAUGUCCGCAUAAUCUAGUAAUGAAACUUAUAAUUUUAUAAUAAUCAAAUUGAAGAUUUCUUCACGCUGUUUUGUAUGAUGACGAGUUUUUAUUUUUCUGUUAAACAUAAGAUCAUUUUCUAAUAAUGUCCAUCUGGAAUUAGUAAUAACGAAGCAUCAUUUGUGGACAGAACAAUUGAAAUAUCAAGUCACUAUUGAUCCCACUUUGAUGAUUGCACUUUAGUUUCUUUCUAAAAUGUCAUUCUUCAUUCAAGCUUUUACUUUAUCUUUUAUCAGGUAUCUUACAAAGCUUUUCCCUCCUAAUAAGCUCUAAUAAACCAAUGUGCUUUUCAAUUUCGCAGGAUACAAGUAACGUAUAUGCCAAAAUUAUUCAAGCACAACAAGUAUUUAUUCGUCGAAAACUUCAACUUAAUUAUUUCAUUAGAAAAUAUGAAACGCAGAGCCAUAAACUAGUGUUUUCUUCAACUUACUUGGGUUAAAUAAAAUUUUUUCAGUAUUUUUCCCGAUCCAUUUCUUGUAUCUCACUGCAUGCUUUAUUAAAGCUUCGUCUUUGUUCUUGAUUGUGAACUUCAAGAUUAAAUCUUAAAAAUCGGGUAUAAAAGGGGUGCUUGAUUAAGUCUUCUUCUUUUGCAAUUCAUUGUUACGGCUCUUUUCAGCUUUUUACUCACAAAUUCCUCUGACGUUAACAGUGAUCUAUCGCUCACUAAAAUUGUUCUUCAUAAUUUCUUUCAAUACCAGUUCUUAAUAUUCAAGGCGAAUAGAGAGCUCAUCAACUCUCUGAUCCCAAAUAAUUAAAGAGGUACACAUGCUCCUAAAUCCUCUAAUAAUUUCUUUUAACAGCAGUUCUUAUUUAAUUUAAUUUCCGUCUAUUUUCCAAGAAAAAUUUCUCCGGUUUGUCUUAAUCUUAUCAUUUAUUUUGCUUGAGUUGUAAGUUAUUGUUCAUUUGUAAGGUCUGUGUUCUUAUUACUAGCUUUGGUUAAUUUGAAUCUAUCUUCCCCAAUAAAAAAAAAAAAGAAGUUUUUAAAAAAAGCGCGGGUUUUUAUUCGGACCCUUAAAACCUCUCUGUUAAUAGCAAAGAAAGACUCUAAUCCUCGAGCCAGGGGGAGUAAAAAAAGAACAAAGAAUUCUCUGUUUAAGUAUCAAUUGUCUCAAGAUCAACAUUGUUUUUUUUCUUUUUCUUUUUUUUGUUAAUUUGUUUGUUAUUUUAUUAGAUUUGCUUUUAAUCUAAUUGUGCUUGAGGAUUGAAGAUGAGUGAGAAAUACCCUUUUUUUCUGAAGCAACCUACAAAUUUUAGAAUAGGGUAAGAGUAUUAGAGAUUCAAUUAAUCAAAAAAAGUUAUUUACAUUCGUCAUUUGCAAAAAUGUUUGCAUUAGAAUUUUUCUAGCAUUCAAGAGCAUUACAUAUCAUCAUGUCACAAAAUAGCCUGAAAAACAAGAUAAAUCAAUUAGAGCAACUUGCUCUUUAUUGAAUUUUUUUUUUUUUUGUUUGGUUUGCCCGAAAUCCCAGGGAAAAUAUUAUAUAAGAACAAGAGUUAAGAUCAAAAAAAUGUAAAACAAGUUUCCUCUGUUUUCGUCCCCCCCCCCCCCCCCCCCCGGUUUGAUGAUUGAAAUUUUUUUUAUCUAAAUUUUAUGAUUUUCCGUUGGGGUUUUAUUAAAUAAAAAAUAAUUAGAAAAUGUAAUUCUAGAUUUACCCUUGUGCAUCGAGUGAUUAUUAUUAUGUUCUCUUAAGAUUUGAUAGUGCAAUUUUGUGUGAUGUGAAUUUCAUGUUUCUGUUAAUCAAUACAAACACAAUUUGUAAGUAAUGGCCAUGUGGAACUUAAUUAUAACCAAGCAUCAUUUGUGGAAAGAACAAAUGAAAUAACAAAAAAGCAGCGUUGGCAAUACAAUAUCAAACUUUAUUUAUUUAUUUAUUUUUGUUUUUGUUCUUGAAUAUGCAUUAAUCAAAUCAUAUAUUGUUGAUCUUACUUUGAUGAUUUGCUGUUCAGUUUCUCUCUCAAAUGAUUUUUGUGUGUUUCCGGUAUCUGCUUUUAUGAAAGAAGCCCUAAAGUGCAUGUGGAUUUUUAAAAAAAGAUUGCAUAUAAUUAUCCUAUACGUGCGUAAACAGGGCAACAAUAACCAAAUACAUGAUAUAAAAAAGGGGUGCUUGAUUAAUGCUUUUUCUUCUGCAAGUCAAUGUUAUUAUUCUCAUCAACCCUUUUCUUACACAUUCCUCGGCAGUUACCGGUGAUCUUUUUGCUCUUUGAGGUUGUUCUUAAAUAUUCAAGGCCAAAUAGAGAAUCUCACCAACUCUCUAAUCCCAGAUAAUUAAAGAGGUGCACAUUUUCCAAAUCCUCUAAUGUGUGUGUUUGUGUAUAGUAGAUCUUUGAUCUUGACAUCUGUUCUUUCAUAAUUUCCAUCUAUUUUCCAAGAAAAAAAAUUUCUCUGGUUUGUUUUAAUAUUGAAUUUACUUUGCAUGAGUUUUAAGUUAUUGUUCAUUGUUAAAGCCUGUGCUCUUAUUAUUUCGUUUGGUUAACUUGCAUUCUUCCCCCCCCCCCCCCCCCCCCCCCCCCCCCCCCCCCCCCCCCCAAAAAAAGAAAAAAGAAAAAAGAAAAAGAAAGUUUUUAAAAAGAUUAUAGGUUUCUACUCAGACCCUUGAAACCUUUUAGCUUUCCGGUAAUACCAAAAUCUCUAAUCCUCCAACAAAUGAAAGCUAGGAAAAAAAUGUCCUAAAGUUUAAUAUCUGUUGCCUUUGUAUCAAUAUUGCCAGUUUGUUGUCUUUUAUUAUAUUGCUUGUUUGUCAUUUUAUUUGAUUUACUUUAUAUCUAAGUUUACUUGAAGAUUAAAUAUCAGUAGGAAAAGCCCUUUUUCUAAAGCAACAUACAGAUUUUAGAAUAGGGCUCAGCCACAUGAAAAUGUUUACAUUGUAGUAUCUCAUAUCAAUAAUCUAAAAACAGCCAAUCCAACAAGUUCAAAUUCAGUCAAAUCUAAAAAUGAUUGCUUUUAAGGAGUACAUGAUAGCUAUUAAAAAGAUCUUUUAGGCAGAAUUGAAAUGCAGUCAAUCGUAAAUCAACCAAUCCAACGAGUUCAAGUACAGAGUCAAUUGAACAAAUUCAUCACUUGCAGAAUUAAGCUUAUCUUCCGAAAUUGAGUUGUUUCCAUUAGAAAUUUUCCCAUAGUCACGAGCACUAUCAUCAAAACAAGAUUAUUUGUAUAGGAACAAGAGUUAAGGAAAAAAAAAAAAAGGUAAAACAAGAUUCCUCUGUUUUCAUUCCCAUUUUUUUUCCUUGGUGAUUGAAAAAUUUUAUCUCUAAAUUUUUAUAAUUUUCCAUUAAGAUUUAUAUUUAAAUAAAGAAUUAAAAAAAUCUAAUUUUAAAUUUAUGCAUUGAAUGAUUAUUAUUAAAUUCCCUUAAAAUUGGUUACAAUAUCAAUUAAAUAACGCAUAGAGUUAUUGAUCACUUUGUUAAAAAUGAUCAUGUGUUCUAUUUAUAUAAUAAAACAAAAGAUGGGGUCACACUUAAGUCUUGUUCUUUUACAAUUCAUUUGUAUUACUCACUCUCAUGAACUCUUUACUUACAUUCGUCUGCAGUUAAUAUUCAUCUUCUGGUCGUUCUUAUAUAUUCAAGGCCAGCAGUGAAGGUCAUUAACUCUUUAAUAAUUAAAUAGGUACAAUUGUCCAAGAAAAAAUAGCCCUUGUUUGUUUUAAUCUUGUCAUUUAAUUUUCUACGUACUGUUCAUUGUUAACUUCUGUGUUCUUAUGUAAUAUUAGCAAUGGUUAAUCUGCAUCCAUCUUACAAUUUUUUUUUUAAAUUGUUGGUUUUCCAUUCAGGCCCUUGAAACCUUUUUUUAAAAAGUUGUUGGUUGUCAUUUCUUUCUCCGUCUUUCCCCUAGUUCAUUUUAAUUUAUUUGAAUCUAAUUUUUCCAACAGCUAAUAUAUAUAUAUAUAUAUGUAUGUAUGUAUGUAUGAAAGCAACAGGCUAGGCAAUGGCUGCAGACCUGGUUUCCACUACUUUUUCCGGCAUUGUAACAGAAGGUGCAAAGGCAUUGUUCGAACCGAUUAUGCGGCAGAUCUCUUAUGUGUUCAAGUACCAGAGCUACAUAGCUGAGCUAAAAGUUCAAGUGAAGGAGCUAGAAUAUAAAAGAGAAAGGGUGGGAAUACCCGUUCGUGAGGCUACUCAACAAAGAGAUGAGAUUUACAAGGAUGUUGCAGACUGGCUUAAUAACGUUGAUGAAUUCAUCAGUGAAGGGGUUGCAAAAUCCAUCAUUGAUGAUGAAGAUAGAGCUAAGAAGUCCUGCUUCAAAGGAUUUUGCCCCAACUUGAUUUCUCGUUAUAAACUUAGUAAACAAGCAGCAAAGGCCGCAGAAGCUGCCGCUAGUCUCGUGGGAAAAGGCAACUUCUCUAGUGUUUCCCACCGUCCUGCUCCAGAGAGUACAGAACAUAUGCAAGCGAAAGAUUUCGAGGCCUUUGAUUCAAGAAUGAAAUUAUUUCAAGAUGUUGUGGAGGCAUUGAGGAAUGAUAAGCUCAACAUAAUUGGGGUCCACGGUAUGGGCGGCGUGGGUAAAACCACGCUAGUCAAGCAAAUUGCAAAGCAAGUUAUGGAAGAUAAGGUGUUCGAUAAGGUCGUUAUGGCUGAGGUAACAGAGAACCCAGAUGUUCAGAAAAUUCAAGACAAGCUCGCUUCCGAUUUAGACUUGAACUUUGACUUGAAUGAUAGCAAACCCCACAGAGCAAAACAACUUUGUCAAAGAUUGACGAAAGAGAAGCGAGUCCUCAUUAUAUUAGAUAAUAUUUGGAAAAAACUUGGGUUGGAAGAAAUUGGAAUUCCUUUUGGGGAUGUUGAUGAGAAAGAUAGAAAGCAAGAUCUAAGGAGACGCAUGAUAAUAUUGACGUCUAGAAGUAAACAUUUAUUGACCAAUGACAUGAAUUCUCAGAAGAUUUUCCUAAUUGAAGUUUUAUCAAAGGAAGAAGCAUUGCAAUUUUUUGAAAAGAUCGUGGGCAAUUCCGCAAAAGCAUCUGCUUUUCAACCUUUAGCAGAUGAGAUUGUUGGAAAAUGUGGAGGAUUGCCUGUUGCACUGAGUACAGUUGCAAAUGCUCUGAAAAAUAAGAAGCUUCCCGUUUGGAAGGAUGCGUUGACUCAGCUGCGAAAUUCUAAUCCAAGAGAAAUUCAUGGAAUGGAUGCAAAUGUCUGCUCUUCCAUAGAAUUGAGUUACAACUUCUUGGAAAGUGAUGAAGCAAAAUCUUUGUUCCUUCUUUGUACUCUAUUUGGUGAAGGUACUCCUAUACAAGUUGCUUCCUUGUUGAGAUAUGGUAAGGGUUUGUUUAAAAAUGUUCGCACAUUGGAAAAUGCAAGGAAUAGAGUGGACGCAUUGAUCGACAAUCUCAAAGCUUCAUGCUUAUUGUUGGACGGCGAUGCUGAAGAUGAAGUUAAAAUGCAUGACGUCAUUCAUGUUGUUGCCGUAUCAAUUGCCUCAGAGAAGCUCAUGUUUAGUAUCCCAAAUGUUACCAACUUGAAGGAAGAGAUAGAAAAGAUCAUACAGAAAGGUGCAAUUGCUAUUUCUAUACCUUAUGGAGAUAUUCAAGAGCUUCCCGAAAGGUUGGAAUGUCCCCAACUCAAGUUAUUACUGUUGCUUGCAAAUGGUGAUAGCUAUUUGGAAAUUUCACACCUCUUUUUUGAAGGGACGGAAGAUCUCAAAGUUUUAAGUCUUAGCGGAAUUCAUUUCUCUUCAUUAUCUUCAUCACUUGGUCACCUCAUUAACCUUCAAACAUUGUGUUUAGACUGGUGCCAACUAGAAGAUGUAGCGGCAAUUGGACAGCUAAAGAAAUUAGAGAUUCUUAGCUUUCGAUAUUCCGACAUUAAGCAGUUGCCACUUGAAAUUGGUCAAUUGGCGCAGUUACAAUUGCUAGAUUUGAGCAAUUGUAGCAGCCUUGUAGUGAUAGCACCAAAUGUCAUAUCAAAAUUUUCUCGAUUGGAAGAACUAUAUAUGGGUGACAGCUUUCCGCAGUGGGAUAAGGUUGAAGGAGGAAGUAACGCCAGUCUUGCUGAAUUGAAGGGGCUGUCAAAGCUAACUACUUUGGAGAUACAAGUUCAGGAUGCCCAAAUGCUGCCGCAGGAUUUGGUCUUUGUCGAAUUGCCAAGAUAUAGGAUAUGUAUAGGAGAAGCGUGGGGCAUCUGGCGCGCUAAUUCUGAAACAUCAAGAUUGGUGCAGCUCCAUGGGUUAGAAAAUGUUAGCACUCUUUUGGAGAAUUAUGGGAUGAAAAUGUUGCUGAAGUUAACUGAAGAUAUCCGUCUAGAGGAACUGACGGGUGUUCAGAAUGUUGUUCAUGAAUUAGAUGAUGGGGAAGGUUUUCCACGAUUGAAGCAUCUUUGGGUAGAAAGGUGUUCUGAGAUUUUACACAUUGUCGGUUCAGUUGGACGGGUUCAUCGCAAAGUCUUCCCCUUGCUGGAGUCAUUGUCUCUCUAUAAAUUGAUCAAUUUGGAGGCCAUAUGCCACAGCCAACUCAGAGAAGAUCAAUUUUUCAGCAACUUAAAGAUUAUAGAAGUAGAAUCCUGUGAUAAAUUGAAGCAUCUUUUCUCAUUUUCCAUAGCCAGAAACCUACUGCGGCUUCAAAAGGUCAAAGUGGCUUCCUGCAAUAAACUGGAAAUGACUGUUGGUAAGUGUUGAAAUUAAGUGUUGGUGGAUUUAUGGACUUCGCCUCAAUUAUUUUGAAAAAAAAAAGACAACGACAAAGAUUAAUUAUGUAUAUUGUUUUUGUUUGUUUACAGGACCCGACAGGGAGAAACCAACAACUUCUUUGGGAUUCAACGAAAUCAUUGCUGAUGAUGAUACUGCUCCAAAGGUGAUAAUUUUCUGUUCAAUAAUUAAUUGAUUAAUUUAUUAUCACGAUUAAUCUUCGAUCAUCAACAGAAUAUUAUACUAGACGGUUGUACUUGAAGGAACAAAAAUGUACGGCUUUUCUUUGCAGGUUCUUCUUCCGAGCUUAGAGGAAUUGAAUCUCACGGAAUUAAGAAACAUCAAAAAAUUAUGGGCCGAUCAUAAUCAAGGAAUGUACUGUUGUCAAAAUUUAACAAAGCUGUACGUGAGAAGUUGUGAUCGUAUGAAGUAUCUGUUUUCGUAUUCUAUGGUUAAUAGUCUUUUGCAACUCCAACAUCUUGAAAUAUGGUCUUGUGAGUCAAUGGAAGGGGUAGUCGACACCACGGGGUGGUCAGAAAGAGAUGAAGGAAAGUUGAUUGAAUUAAAGGUUUUUCCUAAACUACACUCCCUGCAGCUCUAUUGGCUUACAGAACUGACAAGCUUCGCCAAUACAGGACAUAUUCAUUCAGAUUUAGUUGUUGAAUUCCCUUCUUUGCUAAACCUCGAGAUUGGUAAUUGCAGUAAUAUGUUAAGAUUCAUCUCUACGAGCUCACCAGAAGACACCAAUCAUUCUGAAAUGCAACCUCCUCCUCUCUUUGACGAAAAGGUUUUUUUUUUAAUAAAUAAAAUUAAUUUUAGUCACAAUACUUAAUUUGUCUUUUCCUUGAGUCUUCAAAUUUAGUUAAUAUCCGCCUCUAAUUUAGUUAUCAAUUGAUUAUGCCAUUAAUUGAUUAAUUAGUUAUUUAAUCUUUAACUUCCAGGUACGACUUCCUAGGUUGGAGGUAUUAGAUAUUAGCUGGAUGAAUAAUUUGAGAAAAAUAUGGCACCACCAGCUUCCUUCGGAGUCUUUCAGCAAAUUGAAGAAUUUGGAGAUAUAUAAGUGUCAUAACCUAAUGAAUAUUUUUCCUCCAUUGGUAAGGUCGUUGUAUUCAUUUCGAAUCUUUUUUUUUUUAAAUUACAUCCAACAAUAUUUUAACCAUUUUUGGGUUUACAAAUGAUAUUCAGCCACUGAUUAUUUAUUUCAAGUAUUGUAUUUCGAACCACCACUCUCAAAUCUACAUUUUAAGUCCAUUUUUUAGGUUCGCCAGCAUUAGAAUCAACAAUAUAAUUUUUUUAAUCACGAUUCAACAUCAUAAUAUAAUUCAAUUUAAUUGUUUCUGCUCAUAUCUUAAUAAGUACAAUUUUCAAAAAUUAAAGGAUAGUCACUCAUCUUAUAGGUUCACAAAUUCAUCUAUAUAUUUCUCUUUUCCUUAAUUCUUCACAUUUCGAUUGGAAAAAGAAAAAAAGAAAAGAAAAGUCUUCAAAUUUAAUUAAUAUCUCUUGUUUAGUUACGAACUGAUUAUGCCAUUAAUUAACCACAAAUUCACGAUUAUUUACAACUGAUCCUUGAUUGUAAAGAAAUUUCCUCGAGUCUGGAAGUACUUAAUAAAGAUCCACUUUAAUUUUGUUUCCAAAAUUAAAUAUACAUAAAAAAAAGGGACCAAGGGAAAAGGGAAAAAGCGGCAUUUUGGUUGAUUUUUUUUUCCCAAAAGGAAUAGUUGAAAUUUGCAAAUUUUGUUUAAAAACUGGCAUCAAGAUGCAAAAUAAGUCUAAAAUAUUUAGAAAUUGCCUUAAAUUCUUCGUACGUUCCUAAUACUAAAUAGUGUAAAUGCAUUUAAUAUCUUUGUUUAUCUGGCUUUUAUUUAUUUAUUUAUCUUGUUGCUUUUUUUGUUUAACAAAAAAUUAUCUUGUAGACAUUUCAUGGUUUGUUAUCUUUAUAAAACGUAUAAUUGUAUGAUUAAACAUACUUUGAACCUAGUUGAAUGAUAUUCUUACAUUUUUACUUUUUUAAUAUACACACACUUUUGCUUAUUUUCAGGUUGGAAUUCCUAGUAGUUUGGUGAAUCUUAAAGUAUCGAAGUGCCAAAAAAUAGAAGAAAUCGUAGGACAUGUUGGAGAAGAAGUGAAGGAGAAUCGUAUUGCUUUCAGCGAAUUAAAAGUUUUGAUACUUAAUUAUUUAUCAAGGCUUACCAGCUUUUGUUUGGAGAAUUACACUCUUGAAUUCCCAUCACUGGAACGAGUUUCUAUGAUACGUUGUCCAAAUAUGAAGACUUUUUCUCAGGGAAUCUUAUCCAUUCCAAAGCCAUGCAAAGUGCAAGUGACUGAAAAGGAAGAGGGUGAACUGCACCAUUGGGAAGGCAAUAACCUUAAUUCCAUUAUGCAAAAGUAUUACAAAGAAAUGGUAUGUGUUAAUCGAUUCACCCAAAUUGUUUAUGCAUCUCCCCUGCAAUUGCACAUUUAAGCAUAUACCCCGGUCUUGUAUAUAUAUUUUUAGAAGUUAAAACACAAAACAUGUAAGUUUAAUGUGUAUAUAUAUAAUGCCUUUCAAAAAAAAAAUUGUAUAUAUCCGGUGCAAUUGUUUUGGUUUGUGCAGAUUGGAUUCCGUGACAUAUGGUAUUUGCAACUCUCACAUUUUCCACGUUUGAAAGAAAUAUGGCAUGGCCAAGCACUGCCUGUCAGCUUCUUCAACAAUUUAGCACGGCUGGUGGUGGAUGACUGCACGAAUAUGUCGAGUGCUAUUCCUGCCAAUCUGCUACGAUGCUUGAACAAUUUGCGACGGCUGGAAGUGAGGAAUUGUGAUUCACUAGAAGAGGUGCUUCGUUUGGAAGAGCUAAAUGCUGACAAAGAACAUAUAGGCCCCAUGUUUCCUAAGCUUUCCAAUCUAAGGCUCAUUGAUCUUCCAAAACUCAAAAGAUUCUGCAACUUCACUGGGAAUAUAAUUGAACUGCCUGAGUUGAGAUAUCUAACUAUUGAGAAUUGCCCUGACAUGGAAACAUUCAUAUCCAAUUCUACAUCUGUAUUGCACAUGACAGCAGAUAAUAAGGAAGCUCAAAAAUUAAAAUCAGAAGAGAACCUCUUGGUAGCUAAUCAAAUACAACAUCUCUUCGAUAAAAAGGUAAUCAUUAUUAUUAUUUUUCCCUUCACUUUCAUUCGCAUAGAUGUAAUUUCAUUAGAAUCAAAUCAAAUUUAAUGACUUAUCUUUUUGCACGUCGUCUUAAUUUAUAUCUGAUUUAACAAUAUAAUUGUAGUUAUUAACUAACUUUAUAGUAUGAAUUAAAAAAAUGUCUCAAAUUAAUUAGAUGCCUAGUGACAGGAGGUGAUGAACUAUAUCGCAUAAAUUAUGCGUGUUAGAUCUUUGUUUUCCUAGCUAAUUCAUAUUGGAUUUAUGAUCAGAUUUCAUUUAUGUGUUUCAAAGGGUAAUCGAUUUGAUACUUAUAUUUGGGAUCCUACUGCAAAGCAUACUAAUUUGGAAAUAAAAUAUAAAAUGCCGUGAUUAAUCUUGUCCAUAAAAUAUGUAGGGGAAGACUGUAGAGAUUGGAUACAUAUUUUCAUUUACAACUUAAUUUUGUUGAUUUUCAGGUUGCAUUCCCUCAAUUGAUGAAGUUAAAGCUAUCUGGAUUACACAAAGUGCAGCAUCUCUGGAAGGAAAAUGCCGAAUCCAACAAAGUGUUUGCAAACUUGAAAAGUCUAGAAAUAUUUGAAUGUAGUAAGUUGCAGAAAUUAGUACCAGCUUUGUGGCAUUUGGAAAAUCUUGCGACUCUGGAAGUAUCGAAGUGUCAUGGGUUGAUAAAUUUAUUGACACUCUCAACAUCUGAAAGUCUAGUGAAUCUUGAAAGAAUGAAGAUAACUGAUUGCAAAAUGAUGGAAGAAAUUAUACAGUCGCAGGUUGGAGAAGAAGCGGAAGAUUGCAUUGUUUUCAGGAAAUUGGAGUACUUGGGAAUUGAUUGUUUGCCAAGCCUAACAAGCUUUAGUUUGGGUAAUUACGCUCUUGAGUUCCCGUCCUUGGCACACGUAGUUGUGAGACAAUGCCCAACGAUGAAGAUUUUCUCUCCAGGAGUCGUAGACGCACCAAAGCUAAACAAAGUGAAACCCACCGAAGAUGAAGAUGGUGAUGAUGAAGGAUGUUGGGAAGGCAACCUCAAUGAC
rnacentral:lncRNA from 1 species